rnacentral:rRNA from 1 species
CGAGCAGGCGGCUGAGUAAGUCGGACGUGAAAGCUCCCGGCUCAACCGGGAGAGGCCGUUCGAAACUAGUCAGCUGGAGGGCAGCAGAGGAGCGUGGAAUUCCGGGUGGAGCGGUGAAAUGCGCAGAGAUCCGGAGGAACACCAGAGGCGAAGGCGGCGCUCUGGGCUGCACCUGACGCUGAGCCGCGAAAGCAUGGGGAGCGAACG